GGGAAGAGCCCAGCACUGAAUCCCGCGCCCGUACACCGACGCCGGGAAAUGUAUGGUUUGGGAGAGUCCUUUAAUCCGAUUGUGUGCGAUGCCUCCAACUCCUUCUUGAAGGGGGCCAUUUACCCAUAGAGGGUGCCAGGCCCGUACGCACUUUUGCUGGCUGCGGGAGGAUCUCUCCUAAUAGGCUGGUUGGUUGAGAGUGCAGCCCUAAGUAGGUGGUAAACUCCUUCUAAGGCUAAAUAUAACCACGAGACCGAUAGCGAACAAGUACCGGGAGGGAAAGUUGAAAAGAACUUUGAAGAGAGAGUUCAAUACUACGUGAAACCGUUUAGGGGUAAACCUGAGAAACCCGAAAGUUCGACUGAGGAGAUUCAGCGUGUCUUUAUAAGGACGAGUGCUUAACUGUUGACGGUUGACCUUCGGGUCGGUCGCACGGUAUGCGACCCCUCCUUUGUCCCUCGGCGCGUUUCCUCUAGCGUGACCCCCCGACCCGUUGGGUGUCGGUCUACGGCUUGCAGUCUGUUCCGUGCGUACGGUUUUGCCCGCGUACCUGCGGACCUGCCAUGGACCGGCCCGACGGUCUGUUUUCUAUAAUGUGGGCCGCGAUCGCCGACUUGACUCGUUCGGCCCGGUGCAUCCGCGUACGGUUACCCGUUCUUCGAGACUUGUGCCGUGAUCGGAGCUGUGCGGCUGUUGGUGGUUACCUUCUCGGACUGUCUCUGUUUGCCACUCAGCGACGCUGUUGCUUUGGGUACUUUCUCGACCCGUCUUGAAACACGGACUAAGAAGUCUAUGCUGUGCGCGAGUCCUUGACACGAUCUGAUCCUAUAAGCAAAGUGACUAUAAAGGCUCGCCUUGCGCGUUACUAUAGAGAAGCGAAAUAUCGCCUCGCACUCCCAAGGCCUCUUGUUAUCGUUUCGAGGUGAGGCGCAUCCUUUACGUUUACGCUAUAGACCCAAGGG
rnacentral:rRNA from 1 species